UACGUAGGGGGCAAGCGUUGUCCGGAAUCAUUGGGCGUAAAGCGCGUGUAGGCGGCUGGCUAAGUCCGCUCUGAAAGCCCGGGGCUCAACCCCGGGAGGCGGGUGGAUACUGGUCAGCUCGAGUCCGGAAGAGGAGUGUGGAAUUCCUGGUGUAGCGGUGAAAUGCGCAGAUAUCAGGAGGAACACCAAUGGCGAAGGCAGCACUCUGGGACGGUACUGGCGCUGAGACGCGAAGCCGUGGGGAGCAAAGCAGG
rnacentral:rRNA from 1 species